GCCUUCUAUGAUGUCAUGGCAGGAUGGGUCGAUGUGCGGAGAGCAGUGGAUGUUGUCUACCUUGACUUCAGUGAGGCUUUUGGCACUGCCUUCCAUAACAUCCUCAUAGGUAAGAGCAAGCCAAACUUUUCUCACCUGUUGCCUUUUUAUUGACGGAGCAUCCUAAUUGCACAGAGCAUCCUAAUAGCACUUUCUGACCUUAUUUUACUUUACCAUCUUGGAAAGAAACAGGAUGGAUCUAGGAAGCUCAGACUACAUGCAGUAAAAUCCACUGGAUUGGAAUUACAUCAAUUUUGCAUUCAGCUCAGUAAAUGAAAAUGUAUUUAUGCAGCCUGAAACUAAUGCCCAGGAUUUAUUUUAGAAUUUAAAUAAAGCUCAAUUUUGACAACCAUUAAUUAAAAA